AUUGAACGCUGGCGGCAGGCUUAACACAUGCAAGUCGAGCGAGCGGCGGACGGGUGAGUAAUGUAUGGGGAACUGCCCGAAGGAGGGGGAUAACUACUGGAAACGGUGGCUAAUACCGCAUACUAUCGGAUGAACCCAUAUGGGAUGAGCUAGUAGGGUGGGUAAUGGCUAACUUAGGCGACGCUCUCUAGCGGGUCUGAGAGGAUGAUCAGCCACACUGGGACUGAGACACGGCCCAGUCUCCUACGGGAGGCAGCAGUGGGGAAUAUUGCACAAUGGGCGCAAGCCUGAUGCAUCGAUGCCGCGUGUAUGAAGAAGGCCUUAGGGUUGUAAAGUACUUUCAGCGUGGAGGCGUUACUCGCAGAAGAAGCACCGGCGAACUCCGUGCCAGCAGCCGCGAUAAUUC
rnacentral:rRNA from 1 species